GGCUGAGCCAGAGGGGGCUGGCCUUGGGGCUGAGGGACACCAGACGGGACUGAGCAGCUGCCCAGACGUGUCAGGGGCCUGAGGGAGGCUUCUAUUAAUGCACUGCUCAGGCGUGUCACUAAGGAUAACUUCUGCUCAGGUUUCAGGGCUUUCUUUCCCUCUCGGGACCAGAAAUACCUUUGGGAGAGGCGAGGAAAGAAGGCUCUAGAUGGUGACUAGAGAUCGCCACGAUUGGCAGCUCAGAAUACCUGAGUUGGAGGUAGUGAGGGGCAGGCCACAGGGGGCACCUGCUUGCUCUGGGCUGCAGGAUCAGGGGACACUGCUGGGUAAGGGCAGGGGACCCUGGGGACACAGGGGACCCUUGUGCUCUCACACUGUGCAGACCAGUCACCAGUGGAAGGGAUGAAUGGGUCCUUGUCCUGGGAGUCUGGGGGACCCAGGAUCCUGCCCAGGGACAUCUUGGGGAUCCACCCUCCCAGGCAUUAGCCUCAUGCCCUAGCCCAUCCCCCAAACUGCAGGAAGAUUUCAGGUGUUUCCUGGGCCUGGCAUUGCCCAGCACCGUGCCCGGGGUGAGAACACUAUUUCCCUUUUGGUUCUCCUCCCAUCCCCCCAACUGGGUCCAGAAGAAAAGCUCUGUUUGGGGUUGGUAAGUCUCGAACACCUUUCUGAUGCUUGCAAACCAAAGAAAAGCCCAGAGAGGGCAAAGAAUCCGGCGGGACCCGACAGUAGUUCUGCUUUUAUCUUACGGUUUUCAGUUUACUUCUAUUAAAGAUUUGCCACGUACGUUUUCAUUGACGAGAUAAAUGCAUUUCAGUAAAAAAGGACAGAAGUCGGUUGUUCCACAGGUGACUACGAAGAGGCUGAUGGGCGCGCGGAUACAGCAGGGGACAGAGGAAAGCGGGCCGGCCUUCGGAGAGUCCUGCCUGCCCGCGAGCCCCCGCACCCCUCCCGCAUCGUGCACCUCUCCGCCUUUCCGGGUUUACCAGUUGCCCCUUUUGGGGCCGAUCCAAGAGCCUGAUGUGUGGCCAGGAAUAGACCCCUGAGCCGAGCGGGCUUUUGAGCUUCAAACUCCCGGCCUCAGAUUGACGUAGCUUAACGGAAAUUCUCUGCCUGUGUGCGAGAAACACUCAGGCGUCACAGACCGUUAAGGGUAAUGAUGAUCGUGGGAACGGCUCAUCCGGUACGGAUACAGAAGCAACUUGCCCAAGGUGACACAGCUGGUAAACGGUGAAGCCAGCUCUCAGAACCCAGAGCCCAACCUCUGAAGCCAUGGUCGGAGCCAGGAGGAAUGGCCAAGAUCUGUUGUGACUACUGAGAGAAAGAGAGACGGCGCACACAGAAGCAGGGGAGGGGCAGAGAGA